UGCAUCAAGAUAUGAGAUUACUGAUACUAUACAGUUACUGGUUGAUGGAUCUCAUGAUGGUACUAUACUACCAACAUAAAUAUAUGUAGCAAGAGAGUACAUGUACAUAGAGAGGAAGGACAAGCAGUAUAAAUCAGACAGAGGCUGUGCAUUAGUACAAUAUUAUAAAGAAAGAAGAGGAGGAGGUGAACUAUCAGAAGCAGUACUAGAAGAACUCAUUAGUCAUUAUGCUGCUGAGAGAAAGAAACGAACUGGACUAUUUGUACAAUCAUUGAUCAAGAAAAGAAAUAACUAUCUGGAAACUUUAACUGAACAAUAAUUGUCAUUAUGAUUAUACUGCAAAUGAUUAUCAGGUUUAUAAUGUGAGAGUGAA